UUUGGUUCAAACUGUGAAAAAAAUUUUGGUGGAAAACAAAUUUUCGGAGGAAAAUAAAUUUUACGCUCUUUAGUGUUUGGUUUGUAGAGAAAAAAAGUAGUUUUCCGUUACGGUUGUUUGGUUGAAAGGGAAAAAAAAAUAAAAAGUUAUAAGUAGAAAACUAUUAUAUAUAUUUUCUCUUCCUAUAUUUUACAUAUAUUAUUAAUAUAUAAUAAUUAUCAUAUUACACAUAUUAGUAUUAUAAUUUAUAUUUAUAAAUAAAAUAUAUUUAAAAUAUAUUAUACAAUAAUUAAGUAUGUAAUAUAAUAUAUAAUAGUAUAUAUUUAAACAUUCAAUACUAUAAAAUAAAUUACUAUAUAUUUAUAAAUAAAAUAGGGGCAAUUGCUUAUAUACCCCUGAAAAGUUUCCGACUUUCUAAUUUACCCCCUCUUAGAAGGCUAAUAAUAAAAAUACCCUUUUUACGUUCCAACUAUUUCACAUAAACCCCUAGAGUUAAAUUACGUUAAUAAACUGUUAGCAAUAACUAUUAUCUAUAUGAAAUUACUAUUGUGCCCUUUCAAAUAUACCCUUCAACCAUUAUCGACUUUUUCUUAUUUGCCCUUAAGUUAGGGGUACAAAAAAUAUUUUGAUUUUUGGUCUUUUCAAAUAUACCCUUCUACCAUCACCAACAUUUCUUAUUUGCCUUUAUAUUAAGGGCAAAAGAGGCAUUUUGAUUUUUUAACUCUAGUAGAUAUUUAGCUCACGUUUAACCCAAGUUAACUUAACGGGUGGUAACUGCAGGAUAUUUUGGAAUAACGGAGGAACAUAUGAGCAGCAUAUUGGAAAGAAAAAAAAGUAUGGGUAAAUGAGAUAUUUCUGAAGUUUUGAGAGUAUAUAGACAAUUAUCUCCAAUAAAAUAUUAUAUAAUAGUACAUUUUUAUUAAAAAUGAAGUACUAUCUCUCAAUAUAUAUAUAUAUAUAUAUAAAAGAAAAGAAGGGGGUAAGAGAGGUCUACCGUGGACCUCUCUCAUGAGGUCCACGAGAUGGAGGUCACCUAGUGGACCGCAUGCUGCACAUCCCCGCCUCCCCCAACGCUGCGUAUUUUCGUAGCGGAAGUUUUCGUUUUCCGCUCAUUUUGAGCAGAAACCUAAAACCUCUCAUUUCUGUUGAAUCCAUAAAAAAAAAAUUUUCGAGAAAAUUUUUUUUACGAGCAACCAAACAUCGGAAUUCUGCUUUUCAACCGAAAAAAUUUUUCGGGCAAUUUUACAUGGAACCAAACAUACCCUUUGCAAAAAGACGAAAGUAAAUUUUUAUGAGCAAAGUACUGUUUGAUCUAGUUCACUUUUAUUCUUGCUGAUUACAAAGGCAUAUUUUAUGAAUUAUGAGCACAAUGUUAUUUGAUCUAGGUAAUUUUCACCAUUAGUAAUUAGCAAGAUUAUAAAGGAUCACGCUUUUUGGGUGACACCGAAUAGUGGGUGACUAAGAUUGUGCUAUGGUACCUUUCAAAACACUUCGUUGAUUUCGGAAGUGUUUCGGCGGACUUUCGGAACUUUUAGCAGUUCCGGGGCUAUAUGUUUAGUGUUUUGAAAUCGACUUUGUGGAUCUUGACUCGGUGGAUCUUUCGUAGAUCCAGUCGACGUCCCAGCGCACCUCGAGCAUUAGACGCUGCGUGAUUACAGGUGGGUGCUUCGAUCCGGAGUCGGUACAGUGAUGCUAGCUCGGUAAUAUUCUUCCCCUAACUCUUUCCCGUUGUUUUGCAUAUUAUUGAUACCACUAGACUUCUGGGGCGCGUUUGAUUCGAAGUCAGAGUCGGAAUCGAAAUCAGAAUCAAAAUAAGCUGGAAUCGAAAUCGGAAUGACUCAUUACCUAAUUCUAUUUGGUUCAUCACCUGAAUCGGAAUCGGAAUAAAUCAUUCCCAUUGUCGGUGUUUGGUUCAGGUGGAUAUAAAAAACGUAAUCAAAUUACUAUACUAACAUUUUCUUCAUAAUAUUUUAAUUUAAAUUCAAAUUAAAAAUUAAAUAUUAAAAAUUUACAUCAAAAUUUUGAAAUAAUGUCAAAAUUUUGAAUCUAUUUUUUUAAAAAAAAUUAAACUUUGAAGUUGAGUGGAUAAUUCAAAAUAGGAAACUAAAUUUUGAUUUAUUCAAAUUCAAACUUAAAAUUAUAAUUCAAAUUUUAAUUUGAAUCCAUAAAUUUAAUUUAAGUUUGAAAUAAAAUUUGAAUAAAACUUUAUAUAAAUUAAAAUUUAAUUUAAAUUCAAAUUCAUAAGUUAGAUUCAAAAUACUUGAUUAAAUUUUAAUUUUUAAUUUAAGUUCAAAUUAAAAUUCACCACAUUCGCCUUGCCGGGAUGAUACUGAAUACUAAUAUCAUAAUCCUUCAGUAACUCCAACCACCGGUGUUACCUCAGGUUCAACUCCCUUUGAGUGAACAAAUACUUGAGACUUUUAUGGUUGGUGAAAACCUCGCAGUGCUCGCCAUACAAGUAAUGCCGCCACAACUUCAAAGCAAAGACCACUGCGGCUAGCUCAAAGUCAUGUGUAAGAUAAUUCUUCUCAUAAUCCUUUAACUGCCUUGAAGCAUAAGCAAUUACCCUACCAUGCUGCAUCAGCACACAACCCAACCUACUGUGCGAUGCAUCACUGUAGAUUACAAAUCCUUCCCCCUAUCACAGGAAGGGAAAGGAUAGGAGCUGACAUCAGCCUCUAUCUCAACUCGUCGAAACUCAUCUGACAGUCCUCACUCCAAACGAACCGAAUCCCCUUCCGCAUCAAUCGG
rnacentral:lncRNA from 1 species